CCUGCCCAAGAGAUCGGGAUAACACCUGGAAACAGAUGCUAAUACCGGAUAACAACAGAUGAUGCCUAUCAACUGUUUAAAAGAUGGUUCUGCUAUCACUCUUGGAUUGACCUGCGGUGCAUUAGCUAGUUGGUAGGGUAACGGCCUACCAAGGCGAUGAUGCAUAGCCGAGUUGAGAGACUGAUCGGCCACAUUGGGACUGAGACACGGCCCAAACUCCUACGGGAGGCAGCAGCC
rnacentral:rRNA from 1 species